rnacentral:rRNA from 1 species
AGAGUUUGAUCAUGGCUCAGAUUGAACGCUGGCGGCAGGCUUAACACAUGCAAGUCGAGCGGGGAAAGGUAGCUUGCUACCUGACCUAGCGGCGGACGGGUGAGUAAUGCUUAGGAAUCUGCCUAUUAGUGGGGGACAACAUUCCGAAAGGAAUGCUAAUACCGCAUACGCCCUACGGGGGAAAGCAGGGGAUCUUCGGACCUUGCGCUAAUAGAUGAGCCUAAGUCAGAUUAGCUAGUUGGUGGGGUAAAGGCCUACCAAGGCGACGAUCUGUAGCGGGUCUGAGAGGAUGAUCCGCCACACUGGGACUGAGACACGGCCCAGACUCCUACGGGAGGCAGCAGUGGGGAAUAUUGGACAAUGGGCGAAAGCCUGAUCCAGCCAUGCCGCGUGUGUGAAGAAGGCCUUUUGGUUGUAAAGCACUUUAAGCGAGGAGGAGGCUACUUAGAUUAAUACUCUAGGAUAGUGGACGUUACUCGCAGAAUAAGCACCGGCUAACUCUGUGCCAGCAGCCGCGGUAAUACAGAGGGUGCGAGCGUUAAUCGGAUUUACUGGGCGUAAAGCGUGCGUAGGCGGCUUCUUAAGUCGGAUGUGAAAUCCCUGAGCUUAACUUAGGAAUUGCAUUCGAUACUGGGAAGCUAGAGUAUGGGAGAGGAUGGUAGAAUUCCAGGUGUAGCGGUGAAAUGCGUAGAGAUCUGGAGGAAUACCGAUGGCGAAGGCAGCCAUCUGGCCUAA